rnacentral:piRNA from 1 species
ACACAGACAGGAGGAACUCAGAAU